rnacentral:rRNA from 1 species
UACGUAGGUGGCAAGCGUUGUCCGGAUUUACUGGGCGUAAAGGGUGCGUAGGUGGAUCUUUAAGUGGGAUGUGAAAUACUCGGGCUUAACCUGGGUGCUGCAUUCCAAACUGGAUAUCUAGAGUGCAGGAGAGGAAAGUAGAAUUCCUAGUGUAGCGGUGAAAUGCGUAGAGAUUAGGAAGAAUACCAGUGGCGAAGGCGACUUUCUGGACUGUAACUGACACUGAGGCUCGAAAGCGUGGGGAGCAAACAGG